ACAUGCCUACAUCAUAGUGUUAAUGCACUGGAUCCCAUUAGAAUUUUGCAGUUAAGUGCACUCAGGCUAGAGUAGUACUGGGAUGGGUGACCUCCUGGGAAGUCCUAGUGUUUUACAUGCC
rnacentral:rRNA from 1 species